rnacentral:lncRNA from 1 species
GUUUAAAUGAUAAUCCAGUUUGUUAUCGGAUUUUAUGUCUGACUGGAGAGGUGAAAUCACCCAAGUUAUUGUUUGAACCUCCAUUUAGUAUUUUUCAAUCCUGUUCCUUUGGAUGUAACAACUGUGAUGAGUAUCAACAUUUUACCCAAAAACUAUUUCAGAAGUUCAGCUGUAAAUUUCCAGAUUCCUACAGUGAGGCUUCUUGAUGGUGAUGAGAGUCAACCU